AUUCCCAAAUUCCCGAGCCGCCGCCGCCAUCACCGCAGUAUCGCUUCCUGCCGGUAUCCCCUUCUCUUCUCUUCCCGGUGCCAUCUCCCCGCCCCGCCUCUUCGCCGCCUUCGUCUGAGGAGGCCGGCGUAUCCACUGGAGUACACAAGAGAGCCUUGCCUGCCAUGGAAGGGGGAGGCGGCCAGCGAGGGAGCUCCAAGCACGCGGCGGGGGAGGCGGAGGAGUACCAUUGCCACGACUUCCAGUGGGAGGACCUCCGGGCGGAGGUGGAAGCCAACCCUGCCUUCUCCUACCAUCUCUCCCCCUUUGCCCCAACCGCCGGCACCUCGCAGCCGCCGCCGUCCUCGGAUGCCUGGAGGAGCUUCCACCGUCGCCACACAUCCGGCAAGUUUUUCAAGGAAAGGAGGUAUUUGCUAAAGGAAUUUCCAGAACUCAACAGCAAAGGUAGUGAAAAUGUUUUAGAGGUGGGAUGUGGGAAUGGAAGCACUGUUGUUCCCAUUCUACGCUCUAGUCCAGGCAUUACUGUCUAUGCUUGUGAUUGUAGCAAAGAAACUCUGGAGAAGACAAAUGAGAUUGUGUGUAACACAAGAGGAGUUGAUGUCAAGGAUAGGUUCCACCCUUUUUUGCUGGAUGUUUCAACGGAAACUUUUCCAGAUUGGUUGUUCUGCAAAUCCUGUCGUAGUUCACGUGCGAAUGGUGUUGACCUCUUACUAAGUUUGAAUAAUUGCAAUAUGAUAGAAAAACUCCCUGCCUUUCUCACAGAUGAUCAACGUUGUGUUGGCGGCAUAGAUUUUAUCACUAUGAUAUUCACACUAUCAGCCAUACCUCUUGACAUUAUGCCAGCUAUACUAGAACGUUGUGUAUCUGUUCUAAAACCAGGUGGUCUUGUUUUGUUUAGAGAUUAUGGACUCUAUGACAUGACGAUGCUUCGUUUUUUACCUCACCAAAGAGUGGGAUUCCGGGAAUACAUGCGCUCGGAUGGCACCUUUUCAUACUACUUCACAUUAGAUGUUGUGAGAGAACUCUUUCGUGCUUCUGGACUAUUAGAGUUGGAUCUCGAGUAUUGUUGUGUCUCAUCAGUGAAUAGAAAGAACAGCAAGAAGAUGCAACGGGUAUGGGUCCAUGGCAAAUUUCAAAAACCCACUGCUGUUUAGUUAUGAGAUAACUACCGUCAGUGGAUGUACUAAUGUGAAGGAGACCUUACAUUGUAGGGUUUUCUAUCCUGUCACUUGUUUCCUGUGGGCCCUGGGCAAAGAAAUCAUGGCCUAGGAAUUUAAAUUUAAAAUAAACUUGAAUUCAAAUUGAUGCAGAGUAUCAGUUGCGACAGAAACAGAAGUAUAUCAACUAUAAUCGAGAACAUGACAAGGUGUUUAUCGUCCGAUCAAUCCCAUGUGUUAGAAAAAUAAUUUCUUUUAAAACCGCUAGCUGGAGUACACUGCACCUUGAACUGAGCUUGGAAAACGAUAGAAAUGUUUCAGUUCCCGUAGAAGCACCUUUGGCACCACGGAGGUUUGAAAGGGCAUGACAUGUACUUGCCUUGUAUACGCUGUUAACUAUAGAAAACCAUGACAUGAAGAAACCAUUGUGGGACCCGACUCUAACAAAUGGCUUAGAGUGGUGAGAUUUGAAAUAGAAUUUGUGCAUGAUAAUCUACUAGUUGGUGUAGGUGCCAUUGAGUAAAAUGGGGCUAUACUAAAGAGAUAUAUGGAUAGAAAUGUUCACAAUCAAUAAGCCAUGAUUAGUGGUGAAAUGGUUUGAACAAAUUCAAGGCAUUGUUUAUGAUAAAACUCUCAAUCAUAAUGCUAGUCUA